CAGUCGCCACGGGAAUACGUAGGUGGCAAGCGUUGUCCGGAAUUAUUGGGCGUAAAGGGCUCGCAGGCGGUUUCUUAAGUCUGAUGUGAAAGCCCCCGGCUCAACCGGGGAGGGUCAUUGGAAACUGGGAAACUUGAGUGCAGAAGAGGAGAGUGGAUUUCCACGUGUAGCGGUGAAAUGCGUAGAGAUGUGGAGGAACACCAGUGGCGAAGGCGACUCUCUGGUCUGUAACUGACGCUGAGGAGCGAAAGCGUGGGGAGCGAACAGGAUUAGAUACCCCUGUAGUCCCUGUCUCUUAUAC
rnacentral:rRNA from 1 species